rnacentral:rRNA from 10 species
CGCGACCCCAGGUCAGGCGGGACUACCCGCUGA